CAUAAAUCAAAAAAGGUAUAGUAUAAAAUUUAUAAAAAUCAAAAGGAAGCUCAUGUAAAUAGAAUUAAACAAUUCACCACAGUUUCUUGCAAGUUGGUGAAAUUAUUUUUAAGGUUAUUGUCCGUAAACUGGAGAAUAUCCCCUUUUUUAAUAAAUAAAAGUAGGAAACGGUAAAUCCAGUAUAUCAUUAUAAAAAAGAAAAGCAACUCACGUCAAUAGAUAUAAACAAUUCAACAAAGUUUUAUGCAUAUUGGUUAAAGC
rnacentral:lncRNA from 1 species